UUGGUAUUUUUUUUUCCUUUUCACGGAAAAGGCUAAGGGCAUUAUCCCAUACCGCCUGGUCUUAUUUAAUUUUGUCUUCUAUGUGAUUUUGUUCGAGGCCAAAGGCCUUGUCUUUCGUUGUAAUCUUCAAAUUUUCUUGUAAAUAUAAGGUCGAAACCAAGUCUUUAGUAUUAUAUUGUCGAGGCUUAUAGCCUUGUCUAUCGUUGUGUAUCGUUAUAUCAGGGUACUGUGUAUUUUCCGGUAUUUGUUAUUUUUUCAAAUAACUCCAAUCGUAUUUUUGAUAAAGUCAUAAAUGGGGUAGAAUGUGUCCGUAUUCUUGAGAAGAUCCUGAAUAGAGCGCGGGACAUCCAGGGCUUCUUUGUAUAAAUCCAGUAAAUUGUCAAUAAGAAUAAUCCUUUGUAGAUUAAAUGCAGAGCAAUCAAAAAAUAUAUGAUCCAGAGAUUGAAUUAUAUCGUUAUUACAGUAUGUGCAAUUUGGGGAAGGUAUCAUUUUUAAUCUAAAAAGGUGUUCAUUGAAUCUGCCAUGUCCAAGUCUUAAACGACAAAUAGUUGAAUAAAAGUUUCUGUUUAUAAAUUUUCCUUUGAUGAACCAGGGUUGAGUAAUGUCGGAGUUGAUAGAGCUAUACCAUUUUCCUUUACUUUGGAUUGUUUCAUGCCAAUGAGUCAUCCAUUGGUCUUUUAUAAUAGUCUUGAUUAAAACUUUGCAGUCUGAACCUGGCAACUUAAUAUUUUUAAUAGGUAUUUGUUGGAUAUUGGGAUUUUUUACUAUGGAGCUGGCAAGUUUAUCAGCGAGGUCAUUACCCGAAACGUCAAUGUGUGAAGGUGUCCAAAUAAAGCGGAUUUCUCUGUCUUGAUUGAGCCAAAGCCUGCUAUAAAUCUGCCUGAUGUUGUAUAUGAUGUAAUUUGUGCCACUACUAUAAGAAGGAUUUGAUAAAGCCAUUAAUACACUCAUGCUGUCCGAAAUUAUCAACCAUUUCUUGAAAUUGAGGUAUUCCCAAAGAAGAAAGAGUUGUACAUAAAACUGAAUGAUUAAUGUUAUUAAAUGCGCCUACAAUAUCAAAAAAGAUACAUAUAAGAUGUUUAUUACUGUUAAUGGCAGUGUUAAUAUCAUGGAAGAGAUGACCUAUACUUUCUCUUGCUGAUCGACCACGACGAAACCCAAAUUGAUUUCUUGGAAGGAUAUGAUUUCUUUCAAUAUAAAACUCAAGACGCUGUUUUAUUAGUUGCUCAAAGAGUUUGCCUGAACAGGAUGUUAAAGCUAUUGGUCGAGUCCAGGACAUCUCUUCCACGAGCACUGACGGAUUGACAGCCCCAAAUGGUGUGAUGAGCAUUAAAAUCGCCUGAUACAAAACAUGGUUUAGAUGGAGCAGCGUUCUGAGUUCUUACAAAACUUUGCUAAAUGGCCAUACCUGAGACACCGGAAACAUUGCUUGACUGGAGGAACAUACGCUGUAAUAUCAUGCCGCCAGCCGUCCAAAUCGACGUAGUCUGGAAGUACUGACGUCGCGAAGGUGAUGGCUACAGUCUGCAGGGGCUGUAGAAUAAAAUUGUUGUCAA